AGGAAUGGAAGGAGGCUGUGUCUAAGCAGAGAUGGCAGGGCCUUGGCUGACGGAACCAUCUCAUUGUGACAAUAUGUGCAGAAGCCCCUCUGCAGUCACUGGGGAAAUGGCUCAGCAGGACCAUCAGAAUCGUGACCACAAGCCCAAGUAGGCCACUGGAGGACUCCACCUGCCACAGAAUGUCUACUGCUGAUCCUCCCCUACGUUCUACCCCAAGCGACUGCCCCUGGGCCUUAACCCACCAUGCUGUUUGCCCCUGGGUCUCUGUCCCCAGCAACUUUCCCUCUCCCAUGUCCAACGCCUUACCAGACUAUCAUGGAUGGCCAGCUCCUGCUUAAGCAAUGCCAGUUCCUUCUCCAAGUUCUUGACCAUUCUCUGCCAUGGAAAACAUAACAAGUAGAGAAGAAAGUCAUCAGAAAAAUUACUUGGCUCCUCCAUAGCAAAUGCCCAAUUUCUCUUUCUUUUUCUUUUCUUUUUUCUAUUUUUUAAAAAAGAUUUACUUACUUUAUGUGUAUUGAAAGGAAAAAUUAAAGCUUUAGACCUG